rnacentral:lncRNA from 1 species
UCGGGAUCGUGAUGGUCUUGCUGCCGUCCGCGGUCGCGAUGCCGGAGUGCAGCGUUUUCGUCAUCUCGGGGAUCUGCCAGCACUGCUUGUUCUUGUCGACGGCGUCGACGUACUUCCUCCACGGCCGGUUCACGAUCAUGUCGUCGGUGUAGCACAUCUUGAUCGUGAGGCUCGCCUCGGAGUUGGACGUGAAGCCGGUCCAGGCGACGGUGAUGGUGUCCGAGUGCGCGCCCGCGAGCUGCGUGGCGCCGCAGUCCGUCGAUCCGGUCCCCGCGCCACCGACGUCGAGGGUGACGGUCGAGAGCUUGGUGAGCGCGGAGUAUUUCGUCGCCGCGGAAGCG